UACGUGGGAUGCAAGCGUUGUCCGGAUUUACUGGGCGUAAAGCGCGCGCAGGCGGCACUCUAAGUACGUCGUGAAAUAUCCCGGCUCAACCGGGAGGGUGCGAUGUAGACUAGGGAGCUAGAGGUCGGUAGAGGGGGGUGGAAUUGCUGGUGUAGCGGUGAAAUGCGUAGAGAUCAGCAGGAACACCCGUGGCGAAGGCGGCCCCCUGGGCCGUACCUGACGCUGAGGCGCGAAGGCUAGGGGAGCGAACGGG
rnacentral:rRNA from 1 species